GCUAUCAUACCAAGGGGUUACAUGUAGUGAAACCUAAUACGUAAUAAUCAAACAAAUAAUAAAAGAAACAAAAACAAAUGAAAUAAAUGAAUGCAAGACAACAACCCAAUAAGAGUAGGGGUGCAACUUGAAAUUCAUUGGCCCAUGACCAAAGGUGCAACAGUGCAAUUUAGGGGUCCCACUGGAUAUUUUGCUGACCAGGGCCAAGGCCUCUUUUCUUGUUUGCAGAAAGGGAAUGGUGGUGCAAAUAGAGUUGCUCGGUGGCG
rnacentral:lncRNA from 1 species